rnacentral:piRNA from 1 species
UUGGCAAUGUUUCUAGGUGGCAUUCAAACU